GUAUGUCGUAGCCCCGAUUGGAGUCUGCAACUCGACUCCAUGCCGGCGGAAUCGCUAGUAAUCGUAGAUCAGAAUGCUCCGGUGACUACGUUCCCGGGCCUUCUACGGACCGCCCGUCACACCAUGGGAGUGGUUUGCAAAAGAAGUAGGCAGCUUAACCUUCGGGAGGGCGCUUACCACUUUGCGAUUCAUGACUGGGGUGACGUCGGAACAAGGUAACCGCAGGGGGACCUGCGGUUGGAUCACCUCAUUAACUUAAAGAA
rnacentral:rRNA from 1 species